UGCCAGCAGCCGCGGUAAUACGGAGGGUGCAAGCGUUGUCCGGAAUCAUUGGGUGUAAAGGGUGCGUAGGCGGGCGUCUAAGUCUGGGGUGAAAUCUUGCCGCUUAACGGUAAAAUGGCCUUGGAUACUGGGCGUCUUGAGUGUAGAAGAGGUAAGUGGAAUUCGUAGUGUAGCGGUGAAAUGCAUAGAUAUUACGAAGAACAUCAGUGGCGAAGGCGGCUUACUGGUCUACAACUGACGCUGAGGCACGAAAGC
rnacentral:rRNA from 1 species